GAUAAAUGGAACAUAUUGUACCAGAUGGUGCGUAUGAAAACCUCAACGCGUAUGUAAAAGUGAUUAAAUGAAUGUCUAUUUUGAUUCAAAUUGCACACCAUAAACAUGCCUUCACUUGUUUUUGACCAUUCAGGAGAAAAACCGGCUGUACAGGUUACCGGUGGCAUUCCGGGUCCCUGUUGGAAACCAAACGGUGGUUGUCCGAUGCCGCCGGUGGGGCCCAUGCCGACUCCGGCCCCGGGGAAGUCCCCGGGCCCUCCCUGUGUGGGCAUACCCGGACCCUGGCCUCCUAGCGGCGGCGGCCGGAACUGACCUUGAGCAAGCGUCCCGACAACGAAAAGUGUCACAAAAUAUACGGCGGAUAAGCCCAUAUUUGUUUUGUAUAACAUAAAUAAUUGAGAAUAUUGUAAUAUUAACUAAUAUAACUACGAUUUAAUUUGAGAUUUUAACGUAAACACGUAUUCCAA